UCCUACGGGAGGCAGCAGUAGGGAAUAUUGCGCAAUGGGCGAAAGCCUGACGCAGCAAUUCCGCGUGGAGGAUGAAGGUUUUCGGAUUGUAAACUCCUGUCGCUAGGGACGAUAAUGACGGUACCUAGAGAGGAAGCACCGGCUAACUACGUGCCAGCAGCCGCGGUAAUACGUAGGGUGCGAGCGUUGUCCGGAAUUAUUGGGCGUAAAGCGUCCGUAGGCGGUUAAAUAAGUCAGUGGUGAAAGACGGUCGCUCAACGAUUGCAGUGCCAUUGAUACUGGUAGACUUGAGUGAGAUUGAGGUAGCUGGAAUGGAUAGUGUAGCGGUGAAAUGCAUAGAUAUUAUCCAGAACACCGAUUGCGAAGGCAGGUUACUAAGUCUUAACUGACGCUGAGGCACGAAAGUGUGGGGAUCAAACAGGAUUAGAUACCCUGGUAGUCCACACUGUAAACGAUGAUGACUAACUGUUGGCUUUCGGGUCAGUGUACAGAGAAAUCGUUAAGUCAUCCACCUGGGGAGUACGCCGGCAACGGUGAAACUCAAAGGAAUUGACGGGG
rnacentral:rRNA from 1 species